GAUAACUGAUCAAAGAUUUUCACCCAAAUUUUAAGACUCCGAACUUCAUUCCGGUUUCAUAUUUUGGAAAAAAGUUUGUUAGCUACAUGAGAUUUACUAUAAUAUGGUGAAAACCAUCCAAAGUACAAGAAUGUGUGAAAACUUACACGAUGUUUAUGUUAAUGCAUGCCACAUAUACGACGAAGUAACAAUUAAUAUGGUGACAACAUCAUAAAUGAAUUAAAUUGAUUUUAACAAAAGAUAAUGAGGUCAAUUCAUGAUUAUCAAAAAAUCAAAUUUAAACCGAUUAAAUCAAACCCGAACCGACCUUUAUAUCCACCCGUGUUCGACUGAAGUAAACGUUCUUCUCUCGGAAUCGAAAACUUUAGGGUUCAUAAAAGAAAAUUUGAUUUGUAACAGAGAAAUCUAAACAGAGAAAGAGAAAUGAAACUGGGUGGAGGAAACAACAAUAAGCAAUGGGGCAAGGCAAUUCAAGGCAAUGUGCUUUGUUAUUAUCAAAUAAAGGUGUCUUCUCCGAAAUGUCUUUAUAAGGUAACUUGUAACUCAUCUUCCCCGGGAUACUUUUCUGAACCAUCAUCUCCUUCGUUAUACCUUCAAAGACUCCUAUACCGUCAACCUCAAACUGCUCCAAAAUUCAACUCUCCAUCAUCUUCAAGUUUGAAUACUCCCGAAUGAAAAAAAUUAAUUUUCACUGAUAUAGAAUCACUGACAUAAAAGAAAUCAUAAGUUCAUGACAGCAUAAUCAGAAACAAACCAAAAAAAAAAUUGAAAAUAGAAAACCAAUCCAAUAAUAUACCUCAUCGUGAUUCCUCAAAUCUUUGUCGUUCUCUUUCUCUCGAUAUCUCUCU
rnacentral:lncRNA from 1 species